UACGUAGGGCGCAAGCGUUGUCCGGAAUUAUUGGGCGUAAAGAGCUCGUAGGCGGUUUGUCGCGUCUGCUGUGAAAACCUAAGGCUCAACCUUGGGCUUGCAGUGGGUACGGGCAGACUAGAGUGCGGUAGAGGUGACUGGAAUUCCUGGUGUAGCGGUGGAAUGCGCAGAUAUCAGGAGGAACACCGAUGGCGAAGGCAGGUCACUGGGCCGCAACUGACGCUGAGGAGCGAAAGCAUGGGGAGCGAACAGG
rnacentral:rRNA from 1 species